rnacentral:rRNA from 1 species
GACGGUAAGGUAUUGGCUUACCGUGGCAGUGACGGUUAACGGGGGAUUAGGGUUCAAUUCCGGAGAGGGAGCCUGAGAAACGGCUACCACAUCUAAGGAAGGCAGCAGGCGCGCAAAUUACCCAAUUCUAACAGCAUAAGAGAGGUAGUGACAAGAAAUAACAGUACAAGGCAGUUAAAAUGCUUUGUAAUUGGAAUGAUAGAAAUUUAAAUACUUUUUAAAGUAUCAAUUGGAGGGCAAGUCUGGUGCCAGCAGCCGCGGUAAUUCCAGCUCCAAUAGCGUAUAUUAAAAUUGUUGCAGUUAAAAAGCUCGUAGUUGAAUUUUUGCUAAAAAUAACCGGUCUGCUUUUAUUAAUAAAAGUGGUAUCUUGGUGUGUUUUUAGCAAUAAUGUCCUUUGAAAUGUUUUUUACUUUAUUGUAAGAAGCAAUUUUCAGGAUUUUUACUUUGAGAAAAUUAGAGUGUUUCAAGCAGGCUAACGUUUUGAAUACUGCAGCAUGGAAUAAUAAAAUAGGAUUUUAGUUCUACGUUAUUGGUUUUAAGAAUUAAAUUAAUGAUUGAUAGGAGCAGUUGGGGGCAUUUGUAUUUAACUGUCAG